ACCUGUUGAGAGGAAAGGAGCCAACCUGGCCUGGUGACCUUCUCUGUGCAAGCAGGGAGCAGGCACACACCACCAAUGAGUGAAGAAGGCUGCUGUGGCAUGCUCGGGACCUAGAGGGAACCUGCCUCAUUGACAGGGGACAGCAGCUGCACAGCUCCAGACAAUCGUUGUCAAGGACGGGAAUGAGAUUCUAACAUGGCUGAUCUGAUUUUUCAAGAAAGAAAUGACUUCUGGCAACUGACAGGCUCCACGUUGAGUGUUCACACUGUGCCCAAUUCUGCCCUGAGCACUUUGCUUGGUUUCUCCACAACAAUAUUGUGAUCAGUAUAAUUACUGUUAUUCCCAUUUUAUAGAUGAGAAAAAUAGUAAUGGAGGAAAUGGAAGGAAAAAGGAUGGCCAUAAGUUGGAGGCAGGUGAAAGACCCAAAUUCAUGGAAGAGAAGUGAGUCACACAGGGAGCCAGUGGCAGAGCCACACCCCACAGAGCAAUCAACAUGCUCUACUCUGCAGACCUGCAACAGGGAGGGAAGCCAGACUCUGAUGCAAGAAGGAAAGACCAUGUGCUGGCUCAGUGUGUGCAGCCUGGACUGAGCUACUGAACUCUAAAUCCAAGGAUGACUAAUGUAAGCCUAAAGGGUAAUCUGCAAAUACUGCUCCAUUAAUAUUCAAUGAUAAAUGAUAUUGCUUUAGAAUCAAAUUCACAUAAACAGAAGCUUCAGCUGUAUGUCCGCACCCUGGGAACAUUAAAUUGUAAGCCACGUCUUGUA
rnacentral:lncRNA from 1 species